CCGCGGCCCCGGGCCCCUCUGGCGAGAGAUGCCGGAUCUCUCGCGAUGUCGGAGCCGCCGU
rfam:Tistlia consotensis strain TSBA 355 genome assembly, contig: Ga0111602_112